CAAGCUCUCAAACACGUGCGGAAGGCCCGUUUGAAAGACGAAGCCGCCAUUCAACUUUUUUUCUUUUCCCCUCCUCCCUUUCUUCAUUUCCGGACAUCAAUUCCUUGAAACACUGCAGGGCUCGGGAAAGAGUUCGCAAGAGCCAAUUACCACACCUGGGUUUUCAAACAGAGGAAAGUGGACGUUUCACAUGGAAAGGCUUUCUUGAUACAAUCCUUUUAUUCCCCCUCUCUGUCCAGAAGGGGAAUGAUUUUAUACUGAGACAGGGGAGGUUUAGGUUGGAUAUUAGGAAGAAGUUUUUCACACAGAGGGCGGUGACGCACUGAACAGGUUGCCCAAGGAGGCUGUGGAUGCCCCAUCCCUGCAGGCAUUCAAGGCCAGGCUGGAUGUGGCUCUGGGGAGCCUGGUCUGCUGGUUGGCGACCCUGCACACAGCAGGGGGGUUGAAACUCAAUCAUCAUUGUGGUCGUCUUCAACUCAGGCCAUUCUAUGGCUCUAUGAUUCUCAGCUGAUCAUUCAGGGGCAAUGCCUAAAGCCAGGUGGAACCUUGGCCCUACUUGAAGCUGUAGGCAGGUGUAGACCUCCCUGUUUUAAACACAGAGGUCAGUUUUUCUGCUUAGGGCUCUUGUAAAGGCUGAGUGAACGCUGCCAGGUACCAGAACAAGGACUGUAUAUCAUGAGAUGAUUCUAAGUAUUUGCAAGUUGUUGCACUUGUUGCGAUUUAAAGGGUUUUGGCGGUGGUUGUUGUAGCUCAGAACAUGCACCAUCCUCCUAUCCCUGCAAACAGUAUUGGACUUGCAAGAUGCAAUGACAAGUGUGUAAAGAUAACCAGCCAAGAGGAAAACAUGAAUUUAUCUUCAAUACAAAAGACCCAGCACCUUUAGAAAUAAUAAUAUAAUAAUAAACAACUAGGGGCUUUUCAUCCCUUCAUCUCCUGCAUUAGAAAUUCACAUCACACACAUCAGGACCUGCUGCUAAGUGCCAUAGGUUGCAUCCAGAAGACACCACCACUCAUUUUCCUGCCCAGCAGCACACACAGAGCGGGGCCAACAGCAUCAGAACAGACCUGGCCAUACUUGACAUGCUUGAUGCAUGCAGGGCAUACGGGCUCGAGGAACACAAGCACACAGGGAUGCUGAGAAGCCACUACUGACUGCAUUAUGAAGAGGUGCUGACAGCCCCAGAGCUGCUGGGUGUGCAGGGCAGGGACAAAGAGAGCACCCAGAACACAAUGCACCAGCAUCGCGAUCCAGCGCUCAUGGUUACAAACCGUGAUACUCAAACUGUCCUGUUGCAAAGGCUGCAAGUUUUGGGAUGCCACCUUGGUUUCCAUCAACGUUUGUAUUAUAUUAGGACUUCCUUCCUUGAAAGGACAGAAGGUAGAACAUCCUUGCGAUAAAGGUGCCAGCAAGGGCUGCGGGCUGGAUGGUGGAUGGUGGCGGGGAGCCAGCAGCUCUAACAGCUUCCACAGAUCCCCUUCAGAAGAGCAUGCCACCUGCAGCAGACACUCAGUAGAAGCCACACCACAAGAAGGAAAAGCCUUUCAUUCCCACAUAACAAGCAAAGCUGCAGAAAGCACGGGACAAACAAGACCAUCACUGCAGGCUGCAGCGAUGCACAUUUUAGAUAUCUUUUGCUGACUGUAAUAACCCAUGCCCAGAAAGAUGCCGAUUUGGAAAUGCCAUAACACAAAGUUAGCAUUUGCAAUAAAAAUAUGACAGAGUACUUUUUCCUCACUGAGAAAAAUGUCCACUUGAAGCAAGCAUUUUUAUAUGACUAU
ensembl:lncRNA